rnacentral:rRNA from 1 species
GAUGAACGCUGGCGGUAUGCUUAACACAUGCAAGUCGUACGAGAGUUUUUAACUCUAGUGGCGGACGGGUGAGUAACACGUGAGAAUCUACCCUAAGGAGGGGAAUAACAGCUGGAAACGGUUGCUAAUACCCCAUACGCCGAAAGGUAAAAGGAUUUAUCCACCUUAGGAAGAGCUCGCGUCUGAUUAGCUAGUUGGUGAGGUAAAGGCUCACCAAGGCCAUGAUCAGUAGCUGGUUUGAGAGGACGAUCAGCCACACUGGGACUGAGACACGGCCCAGACUCCUACGGGAGGCAGCAGUGGGGAAUUUUCCGCAAUGGGCGAAAGCCUGACGGAGCAAUACCGCGUGAGGGAUGAAAGCCUGUGGGUUGUAAACCUCUUUUCUCAAGGAAGAAGUUCUGACGGUACUUGAGGAAUAAGCAUCGGCUAACUCUGUGCCAGCAGCCGCGGUAAUACAGAGGAUGCAAGCGUUAUCCGGAAUCACUGGGCAUAAAGCGUCUGUAGGUGGUUUGAUAAGUCUGCUGUUAAAGACUAGGGCUUAACCCUAGGAAAGCAGUGGAAACUGUCAGACUUGAGUAUGGUAGAGGUACAGGGAAUUCCUAGUGUAGCGGUGAAAUGCGUAGAUAUUAGGAAGAACACCAAUGGCGAAAGCACUGUACUGGGCCACAACUGACACUGAGAGACGACAGCUAGGGGAGCAAAUGGGAUUAGAUACCCCAGUAGUCCUAGCCGUAAACGAUGGAUACUAGGUGUUGCACGUAUUAACCCGUGCAGUAUCGUAGCUAAGGCGUUAAGUAUCCCGCCUGGGAAGUACGCUCGCAAGAGUG